CCAAAACAAUGGCCGAAAGGCCUUGCCCUAGGGAGGGAGACCUCCCGACGGUAAACCCUUUGUGAAAACCCUCUCGUUUGCCUCGGCGGCACCCUUUAAUUAGGGGUCAGCCCGCCGACGGCACCAAACAAAAACUCUUUUGAAUUGAAGAAUCAGUCUGAAUCAAUGGUCGAAUGACUGUA
rnacentral:misc_RNA from 1 species